rnacentral:ribozyme from 1 species
AACCACAGAUUCGGCUUUGACAGGGAAGGCUGAAAAGGGUGCGCAAGCGCACGCGCGCUUAGGGGCAACCGAG